rnacentral:tRNA from 1 species
GUCUCAGUAGUCUAAAGGCUUAGGAUACUUGCACGGAAUGCAAGAGAUCCGGGUUCGACUCUCGGCCGAGGCA